GAUUGUGGUGGUUUUCUUUCUGGCGCGUUUGUUAAGUUUUCAGAUGGGCCUGACUCUGCCACAUGCAUCGGAGCUGGCAAAGGCUUGAUGACAGAGAUGGCUCCGAAGCCUUUUCUGCACCAGAGACUGGCCCCCACACGC
rnacentral:snoRNA from 1 species